GACGAACGCUGGCGGCGUGCCUAAUACAUGCAAGUAGAACGCUGAAGAGAGGAGCUUGCUCUUCUUGGAUGAGUUGCGAACGGGUGAGUAACGCGUAGGUAACCUGCCUGGUAGCGGGGGAUAACUAUUGGAAACGAUAGCUAAUACCGCAUAAAAUUGAUUAUUGCAUGAUAAUUAAUUGAAAGAUGCAACUGCAUCACUACCAGAUGGACCUGCGUUGUAUUAGCUAGUUGGUGAGGUAACGGCUCACCAAGGCGACGAUACAUAGCCGACCUGAGAGGGUGAUCGGCCACACUGGGACUGAGACACGGCCCAGACUCCUACGGGAGGCAGCAGUAGGGAAUCUUCGGCAAUGGACGGAAGUCUGACCGAGCAACGCCGCGUGAGUGAAGAAGGUUUUCGGAUCGUAAAGCUAUGUUGUAAGAGAAGAACGAGUGUGAGAGUGGAAAGUUCACACUGUGACGGUAUCUUACCAGAAAGGGACGGCUAACUACGUGC
rnacentral:rRNA from 1 species